UGGUUAAGCCUGAUCAAGAUGACACCCUCCCAAAACCACCGAGACUUCGUGGCAGAGUCCAUGGGAGAAAAGCCAGUGGGGAGCCUGGCCGGGAUUGGUAAAGUCCUGGGCAGGAAGCUGGAGGAAAGGGGCUUUAACAAGGCUUAUGUGGUCCUUGGUCAGUUUCUGGUGCUAAAGAAUGAUGAAGACCUCUUUAGAGAAUGGCUGAAAGACACAUGUGGUGCCAGUGCCAAGCAGUUCCGGGACUGCUUUGGGUGCCUUCGAGAAUGGUGUGAUGCCUUCUUCUUCUUCUUC